rnacentral:rRNA from 1 species
UACGUAGGGGGCAAGCGUUGUCCGGAUUCAUUGGGCGUAAAGAGCGUGUAGGCGGCCAGACAGGUCCGUUGUGAAAACUCGAGGCUCAACCUCGAGACGCCGAUGGAAACCGUUUGGCUAGAGUCCGGAAGAGGAGAGUGGAAUUCCUGGUGUAGCGGUGAAAUGCGCAGAUAUCUGGAGGAACACCGGUGGCGAAGGCGGCAUCCUGGACCAAUAUUGACGCUGAGGAGCGAAAGCCAGGGGAGCAAACGGG